rnacentral:rRNA from 1 species
GACAGAGGAUGCAAGCGUUAUCCGGAAUUAUUGGGCGUAAAGAGCUCGUAGGCGGUCUGUCGCGUCUGCUGUGAAAACUCGGGGCUUAACCCCGGGCCUGCAGUGGGUACGGGCAGACUAGAGUGCGGUAGGGGAGACUGGAAUUCCUGGUGUAGCGGUGAAAUGCGCAGAUAUCAGGAGGAACACCGGUGGCGAAGGCGGGUCUCUGGGCCGUAACUGACGCUGAGGAGCGAAAGCGUGGGGAGCGAACAGG